AACCUUAUCUAGCGCUGGGUAUAAGCACGAUCCACAGGGUGCUUGCCCCAGACUAAGACCCACCAUUGCACUUCGGAGCGGUGAACGCGACUAUCAUUCGGAGGUAAUUUGGGUGCGACAAUGUCUUCCAUUGGGGCAUGCCCUCCUCUUCUCAUGCCCCU